GCUAAGCCCUGAACAUUGAUAGUUACUAAUACAAUACUUUCCGCCAGAGAACUACAAGUGAAAAACUUGAAACUCAAAGGACUUGACGGUGUCCCACAUCGGCCUAGAGGAGCCUGUCCUAUAACCGAUAAUCCCCGUUCCACCCAACCUCAACUAGCAAAAUAUCAGCCUAUAUACCGCCGUCGACAGUUUACCCUAUGAAGGCUCAAUAGUAGACACAAUAGCCUUAACGCUAAUACGUCAGGUCAAGGUGUAGCAUAUGUUGAGGAAAAGAUUGGCUACAUUUUUUAUGAUAAAAAACACGAAUUGCACUAUGAAACACUGCAUGAAGGUGAAUUUAGCAGUAAAACAGAUAAGAGUGUCUGUUUUAACAACGCUCUGGGACGCGU
rnacentral:rRNA from 1 species